rnacentral:rRNA from 1 species
AUUGAACGCUGGCGGCAUGCCUUACACAUGCAAGUCGAGCGGCAGCAUGGAGAGCUUGCUCUCUGAUGGCGAGUGGCGAACGGGUGAGUAAUGCAUCGGAACGUACCGUGUAAUGGGGGAUAACGUAGCGAAAGUUACGCUAAUACCGCAUACGACCUGAGGGUGAAAGCAGGGGAUCGCAAGACCUUGCGUUAUACGAGCGGCCGAUGUCAGAUUAGCUAGUUGGUGAGGUAAAGGCUCACCAAGGCGACGAUCUGUAGCGGGUCUGAGAGGAUGGUUCGCCACACUGGGAGUGAGACACGGCCCAGACUCCUACGGGAGGCAGCAGUGGGGAAUUUUGGACAAUGGGGGCAACCCUGAUCCAGCCAUGCCGCGUGAGUGAAGAAGGCCUUCGGGUUGUAAAGCUCUUUCGGCCGGGAAGAAAUCGCACAGGCUAAUACUCUGUGUGGAUGACGGUACCGGCAUAAGAAGCACCGGCUAACUACGUGCCAGCCGCCGCCGUAA